ACUGGAUCCCUCAGUAGCAAUAACAUCUAUUCAGAUUACUGUUGUUUUAUGAGGGUAGAAAUAACAGAGUCUGCUAAGGAAGAGAGGGAGAAAGAAGAAUAAGGAUUCUCCACCAUCAACCAAACAUCAGACGUGUGUUAGAGGAGAUGCUUCUGUCAGUUUCGUGUAGGGCCAAAGACUGGGUGUGCUGCUUUUGGAAUAAACAUGGAGAAUUAGUUGUCACUAUGAAGUAACCUGUGGGUGUGACUGCUGGAUAGAGCCCAGAUGCCAGAGCAAAGAGUGCCUUUCCAUGCACAGCUGUUACGUACAAGGUUAAUGGCAUAGUUACACUUCCCUGAGACAUUCUGCCUAUUAUGAAGAGCUCAGUUACAACUCUUGCAAUAGAGAUGGGACAGGAAAAGAAAAAAAAGGAACAGCUAGAAGAACUACAAGAAGAGAACAGUGAACAGCAUCAUCAGAAAAGUGAAAUGACUUCCAAAAAAGGAACAGGCAGCCACAGAGAAGACACAGGAAGAAUACCUUCACCAACUUAAAUACUUUUUCCACCAUUAGUUCUUAGAUAGAAACAAGUUUUUAGAAGCAUAAGGACCACAUAUUUCCACCGUGUGCCUUGGGAGUGGCCACUGUGUCCCCCAGUUGUACAAACUGAACCAGGAACUCCUGGAGCAGAAUGGAAAAGCCUCUCAGCAUAGAUGAGUCUACCAACAUUUCAAAUGCUCACCACCUUUGGACCAGCUGUGAAGAGUAACCCCACUGUAUCUGCCUGUCAUACAAGUUCUCUUUUGAUGCUCUUUUCUCCUAUAUUGCAUUUCUGAGCAGUGCUUUAUGGCUCAGAUAAAAUAUAAUUCUCAUGUUGUCUUUAAUUAUUUCAUAAAACCCAAAACUCUCAUAACGAGUCCUUGCAGUAUUAAUAUAUUCCAUGAUAUUAUGCCAAUGCUAAAGCAAGAGGAUGUAGAUCCCCCUCCUGCUGCAAAUAAAAAUACACCUCCUGAUAUAAUCCAAACUUUAAUCCAUUUCUUAUGGUUUUACCAUUUGCCUUUAGAAGCAACUCAGACAAAAGAGCAGAACAACCUCUCCUCUCUUCCACAGUUUGGCCAUCUGAUCUGUAAUUUGUAAGGAUUUGUAAAGCCAACGCUCUAUUUCCAGCUCUUUGGGAGUGAGACCCCCUUUCUACACAUGGAAAGAAUAAACAGAGAAGUUGCAGCUGCCUACAUAAUGUCAGUAAAGAUCUGUAUCUCUCCACAGGCUUAUUUGCAAUGUAUGUAAU